AACAAACGCUGGCGGCGUGCAUAACACAUGCAAGUCUAACGGGAAUGUCGGCUUCGGCUGACUAGUACCGUGGCGAACGGGUGAGUAACACGUGGGUAAUCUAACCUCGAGUUUGGGAUAACCUUGCGAAAGCGAGGCUAAUACCGAAUAAGACCACGCCCUGUACGCAGGGUGCGGUAAAAGGUUGCCUCUUCCUGAAAGCUAUCACUUGAGGAUGAGCCCGCGGCCUAUUAGCUAGUUGGUGGGGUAACGGCCCACCAAGGCGACGAUGGGUAGCCGGCCUGAGAGGGUGUACGGCCACACUGGCACUGAGAUACGGGCCAGACUCCUACGGGAGGCAGCAGUGGGGAAUUUUGCGCAAUGGGGGAAACCCUGACGCAGCAACGCCGCGUGAGUGAUGAAGGCCUUCGGGUCGUAAAGCUCUUUUAGUGGGGAAGAAUCCCACCUGGAAGAAUACUCUAGGUGUCUGACGGUACCCACAGAAAAAGUUCCGGCUAACUACGUGCCAGCCGCCGCGGUAAGAC
rnacentral:rRNA from 1 species